GUACCAUCCAGAAGUGGUACUGCAUGUCCUGUUUCACAAUAUACAUGGCACCAACAACAUUACCAGAAGAUGAUUGUGCAUCAGUCCUCAUUGACGAGGUGCUGUCUAGCAUACAAGGAGCCUGAGGCUAUGGAUACUGGACCAACAGCGUCCAGCAGAAUAUGGUGAAAGGCCAACUUUGGUACAAGCUGUGGAAAAGCACUAGGUUAGGAGCCCGUAUGUGAACUUGGAGCAACUGAACAGUCUGUCAUAUGUGCAUCGGAAAAUGACGUCACGGAAUGUCUUCCUCAAGGGGAUCACACAUACUCCUUGAACGUGGCCAGUGAUUCAAGCGACAUCCUGUAUGACAGUACCAGUGUGAUCCAAUAUGAGGAAAGCAGCGGUGUUCAGUGUCUACUGACACUGAUCCCCCACUAAUAAUUUCGUCAUCUAAAGGUACACAGGUGAACUUUAGUGUUAGGACACUAACCACUGUGGGGACACAGACUUGUGUGCACCAUGCGUAGCAUGUGCCUGUAAAGAUACCUCUCCUCGCCUGCUGCCCAUGGAGGACCCAACUACCAAUGCGACAAACACAAGCCCUGAGGCGGAUUCGGGGAUCGAGACCAGAUCCCAAGGAGGUGAUGGAAACUGUUGCACUGUACCAGCUGUUGAUGCAGUGUCUUCAGAAGAACGAGUAGACCACACCUUUUCGCCUGUGCACUGCUCAAGCCCAGUCCCAUCGAGCCCGUGUGAUACAAACCUCUGACUCUGAGAAGGAUACGUCAUACUUCCCUUCAUUUGACUAGAGCUUUGUGAGAGGAUGCUUUCGCUUCUCAGCACCACACCAAAAGACACUACAGUUCCACAACACAAGGAAAAAAAAAUACAUAGUCUUUGAGAGCUGUCUGCUCCAGCUCUUUCGACUAUGCCAAACGUGCUACACUCCAGCUAAGACAACUUUAGAUCAGAAGGAACAUUUCUGGCAGUCAACUGCACCUGUUCCAAUGGACACCACCGUACAUGGACCAGCCAGCCGACCAUAAAUGGGAAAGCAGUUGGGAACCUUCUGCUCUCAGCUGCCAUCCUAUUCACUGGAGCAAGUCCAGCCUAAGU